rnacentral:rRNA from 1 species
CGAACGGAAACGAAAAUAGCUUGCUAUUUGGCGUCGAGUGGCGAACGGGUGAGUAACGCGUAGGAAUCUACCCAGUAGAGGGGGAUAGCCCGAAGAAAUUCGGAUUAAUACCGCAUAAUCUCUACGGAGUAAAGAAGGCCUCUUUACAAUGCUUUUACUAUUGGAUGAGCCUGCGUUAGAUUAGUUAGUUGGUAGGGUAAAAGCCUACCAAGGCGACGAUCUAUAGCUGGUUUUACGAGAAUGAUCAGCCACACUGGAACUGAGACACGGUCCAGACUCCUACGGGAGGCAGCAGUGAAGAAUAUUGGACAAUGGGGGAAACCCUGAUCCAGCAAUGUUGCGUGUGUGAAGAAGGUCCGAGGAUUGUAAAGCACUUUCAGUAAGCAAGAAAAAUGUAAAUCUAAUAGAUUUGCAUGUUGACCACUUAUAGAAGAAGCACCGGCUAACUCCGUGCCAGCAGCCGCGGUAAUACGGAGGGUGCGAGCGUUAAUCGGAAUUACUGGGCGUNAAGGGUAAGUAGGCGGUUUAUAAAGUCACAUGUGAAAGCCCUAGGCUUAACCUANGAAGUGCAUGUGAUACUCA